GAUGUUAGGUUGAAAAUGACUUGUGUAAUGAGAUUUUCGAUGCGGUAGUUAUGGUUCUCAAGUAAUCAAAGAGGCUAUCGAAAUAGUUGCCCUCAAGUACUUGAUAUCAUCAACUUUGAAACAAUAAUUGUUUAUGUAGAAGCCACUAGGGUUGGCUCGGGAACUUGAACCAUCAAAAGAACUUAUUUGUUGAGAAUGAGAA
rnacentral:lncRNA from 1 species